CUGUUUUCAGUUUUGGGUCCCUCACUAAAAGGAAGACAUUGAGGCCCUGGAUUGUGUCCAGAGAAGAGCAAUGGAGCUGUGAGGAGUCCAGAGCACAAGCCUUCUGGGGAGUGGCUGAGGGUACUGGGAUUGUUCAAUCUGGAGAAGAGGAGGCUCACAGGAGACCUUAUUGCUCUCUACAGCUGACUGAAAGGGGCUUAUGGUGAGCUGGGGGUCAGCCUCUUCUCUGACGUAGCUAAAAGGAACCGCCUCAAAUUGAUCCACGGGAGGUUCAGGUUGGGUAUUAGGAAAAAUUUCUUCUCAGGAAGAGUGGUGAGGCAUUGGAACAGGGAGGUGGUGGAGUCACCAUCUGUGGAGAUGUUCAGAAGCAAUGGAGAUGUGGUACUGAGGGACAUAGUUUAAUGAAGGAAAUAUUGGUGGUAGGUACAUGGUUGGGCAAGAUAAUCUCGGAUGUCUUUUCCAACGUUGCUUAUUCUAUGAUUAUCCUCAUUAUUCUAUGAUAAGGCUCAGAAAUGCUCAUCUUUAGAGUUGUAGUUGAACCAUUCCUGAGGAUGAUACAGGGAUUCAAGCCAAACCUUUUUGACUUAGAUUUCACGUUAUAAUCUAUUUUUUGUAGUUUUUUUUUUAUAGUUCUUAUAUGCCCUUCUAAUCUCAGAACCUUUUACUUCAUUAUCCAAAAAGUGGCUGUUUGCUGCUACUUGAAGAACAUCAUUGGAAAGUAAGAUUCCAGUUUUGUUUUUGUUUUAAAAAGCUGCACAAAUCAAAAAAGAUAAGUCAUUCUAUACCUCAGGUAAUCUUCUCUAAAAAAAAUUGGAAAUGACAGAGUUUCCUGAAUACAGAAUACUACAUGCUGAGUUGCUUUACGCAUCAAAUAUAUUUAAAUAAUUGUAAUUGCCUUUUCUGAUUAUUUUUUCUUUGUAGUUUGACUUCUCAUUUGUAGAUGUUUAUCGGGUGAAGAGUUUUCAAUUUACAUCAAAGCUUUCAGAAGACAAUGAAAGCAGUGUCACAGACAUAGGAAAGAAACGGUUUGGCCAAUUCUGCAGAGAUCAUCCAGCCUGCUGCUGCAAUAUUGCUAAUAGCACUUGGAACUGUGAUGGAGAAACUCUAGAUAGUUCAGCAAUUGAAGUGAGGGUUCACUGCCAGUUAAUGAAACUGUUUGCAAGGGGAAUUGAGGAAAACAGUAAAGAUGAAGCUGCCUACAGCCACAGUAGCAUUGAACAAUUACUAUAAGUACUGUUCCUCCGAUGAGGAGAAGAAAAAAAUGCUCAAGGAAAUUGAGUAUAUUUGCAUUUUAGUCAAAUUGACAAGUAUUUUAAAAUUUUAGGAUUUUUUUUUUGUGAUAGUUUCAAUAUAAUUUUAGACUUUUUAUUUCACUUUUUUUUUUUUACAUUGUAGUCAUUAAAAUAUGUCUUGGAGUAAUGUAAUCUAAGUUAUGUUAGAGAAGAGAGAAUUGGUGUAUGUGUAUGUAUUCACAACAACUGAAAAAUACUGUGCUUUUUUAGAGAACUGAUUUAGCAGUUGUGUUGCAAUAAUAUGUAAUUGUUAUAAAACAUUGAACUUUAUAUUGCCAUCAAACCAAGAUACAAAGACAAGAUAUUUUCAGUAUCUGAGAGAAUGUGUUCUCCUGGGAGUGUGAAGUAUUGCAUGUGGCUUAAGUGCUGGACAACAGUGUUGUCAUUUGCAUUUAUUUUUUUUUUAAGUCUUUCCUUUGUAGUUCUGACAAUACCUUGCAACUUAUCAAUGCAAUUCAGAUACACAUUCCUGGCUUUAAGUAAUAACAGUAACAGUCUAGAAAUAUUUUUAAAAACAAAAGCACAUCUGUAGACAGAUCAUAACUUCUCCUAUAUAUUCUAUUUAUAAGUGCUUUCUUGCAUGCUGCUGUUUGGGAUUAUAAAGCAUCUAAUGACUGUUUGGAUUAUACCAAAUACUGUGUACUGCAUUGAAAUGUCUUGCAAGCAACUCAUAGGGAUGUGUGAUACCAGGAAAGCAUAGGCAGGGGAGAAUAUAAAUAUUUUAUAAAACACCAGCAAAUUUUACAUUUCUAAAAAUAGUUAAAAUUAACAUAUGAAAAGCUUUCCUCUUCAGUACACAAUUCUUUGGAGAUUCUAUGAGAUAUGUUAAAAUGUCUUUGCAAAGUAAGAUGUUGGAAUGUUAAGUUUGAAAAUAUUAUUUGAUGAUUGAAUGUCUUUAAAACAAAUGUUUUAUUUAACUAAAUAGGAAGCAAAGUAAUGUGUGAUGUGAAGUCAAAGGAAGAAACUGGCAUCUGAUAAAUCACAAAUCACUGUGCUUAUUUUUAUAGAAAAUACCUGAGACUAUCAAGUACGACUAGGAAGCGGAUAUUUAAGUUAUACUUGAAUUUGUGUAUUGUGGCAUACAUACAUCCAGUGUGUAGUCUUGGGGCAAAAUUUUCCUCUUGUCAAGCAGGUUUCUUCCUGUUUGGUAAGGAUCAGAACUUAGCCUCUGUUUGUUAAUGCUUACUGCAUCUCAAAUUUUUUUUUGUUGUGUCUGAACAACUAAUUAUUCUCUAUUCAUGUAUAUUUAUUGGUAUUUCUGUCAUUCAACUUCUACUGGUUUCAUGUAUAUUUGCUCUGUGUAAGCCAUGGUGAUUGGUCAGUUUAUUACUGAAGCACUUGAAGUUUCUUUUAUAUGGCUGAUUUAUUUUCUUUUCUGCUGAAACAUUCCAAUUUUGUGUAAUAUCAGAAGUUGUGCUAUAUUGUUGCUACAAGUAUUAUUCAUACUGUCGCGUAUGACAGAAAACCAAAAAGGUUUGUGAGUGAUAAUUACUUAAGUACAGUCAUAAAAAGUUUGGGAUCUGUUUUUCAUUAUAUAAAAUGUCAGAGAGAUACUUGAAUACUUUUCCAAAAGUAGUACUGUUUACUUUCCUCAAUAAUGUAUUGAGUCUGAAAAACAUUGGGUAAAUUAACUUUUCAAUAAAAUGUUAAAUAUCCUGUAUUUUUAAAGCCAUGUUUAGCAAGGGAAAUGGUACUUUUGAAUGAAGAACCCUAUUGAAAAUGAAAUGAUGCAGUCAUACAAAUGCAGAUACCUUUUGAAAGUGUAAGCUGUUUAAAAGUUCUACAGUUAGCUUGGUCUAUGUCUGAAUAAUGUUAAAGAACCGAGAUUUCAAAUUACUGUAAUUCUUGGCCAGGUUGUGACAGUGUAAACUCCACUCACCAAUAGAUGAAGUGUUACAGCUAUCCAGAUCAAUUUCUCAUUUGUGAGAACAGCGGAAAUGCUAACCAGCUUUUUUCCAUUAGUUUGCUAGUAAGGCAUGAGACUGUUACUUAAAAAAUGGUAGAUUAAUCUGGUUGUGAUGUUGAAGUGCUUUGAGUACUUGUCAUGUCUGAAACUGCGCCUGGUGUUUCCAAAGAAAAGGCCACUGGGAAGGCCUCCAUUCUGAAAGAGAACUGCCAGAAAAGAAGGAGGAAAAGAUCAUUCAGUAGUAUUGUAACAAAGUGUUAAGUUAAUACUGAAGGUAUUGCAACAUUAAAUAAAUAUCUUAGAAAAUAGGAAAGCUGCAUAGUUGAAUUGAAUAAUUCUACUUGUAGCAUAUUGUACUAGUGAAGGUGAGUUGUAUGACAUCCACUUCAUUUUUAAGAAGAGAGCUGUGGAAGUAGUAUAUGCUUUCAUUUUAAUUCUAAUAUUUUUCCCUCUGAAUGUAGUCUCGGAAUGAAAAUCACGUAUGGGAAAACCAAGUUUGAUUCCCUGUUUUGUUUCUUAUUUCCCAAUCUUGCUGGCUUCAAGAUUAGAAAAUGUGCUCUGUUUUAUGAGGCUAAAGGAGUUCACAAAAAAAUAAUAAAAUUAUGUUGUACAGCGA